rnacentral:rRNA from 1 species
UACGAAGGGGGCUAGCGUUGCUCGGAAUCACUGGGCGUAAAGCGCACGUAGGCGGCUUCUUAAGUCAGGGGUGAAAUCCUGGAGCUCAACUCCAGAACUGCCUUUGAUACUGAGUAGCUUGAGUCCGGGAGAGGUGAGUGGAACUGCGAGUGUAGAGGUGAAAAUUCGUAGAUAUUCGCAAGAACACCAGUGGCGAAGGCGGCUCACUGGCCCGGUACUGACGCUGAGGUGCGAAAGCGUGGGGAGCAAACAGGG